UACGAGGGGGGCAAGCGUUGUUCGGAAUUAUUGGGCGUAAAGAGCUCGUAGGCGGUGUGUCACGUCGGCCGUGAAAACCUGCAGCUUAACUGUGGGCGUGCGGUCGAUACGGGCAUCACUGGAGUUCGGCAGGGGAGACUGGAAUUCCUGGUGUAGCGGUGAAAUGCGCAGAUAUCAGGAGGAACACCGGUGGCGAAGGCGGGUCUCUGGGCCGAUACUGACGCUGAGGAGCGAAAGCGUGGGGAGCGAACAGG
rnacentral:rRNA from 1 species